UUUAAAUUGCUGUGGUAUUUUGACUAUACGAAGGUAUUGAAAUAAGGCUUUAAUUGGGUGCUAAGAGAAUGGUUNAACAGAGAUCAACUUUCUUUUCUUUUUUAAUAAAAAUUAAUAUAAAAAUGAAAAAGUUUUUAUAAAAUUUUGGGACAAGAAGACCCUAUGAAUUUUUUUUUAAGUCUGGUUUAAUUUAUAUAAUUUUGAGUGAUUGGUUAGGCUUGAAGUUGAUUGGGGCGAUUGUUUAAGAUUUAUUAUCUUAAGUACAAGGAGUAAUUAGAACCUAAAUUAUGGGGUGGUUGAAUUAAAUACUCUAGGGUUAACAGCGUUAUUAUUUUGGAUAGUUCUUAUAGAUGAAAUAGUUUGCGACCUCGAUGUUGGA
rnacentral:rRNA from 1 species